CCUACGGGAGGCAGCAGUGAGGAAUAUUGGUCAAUGGCCGUAAGGCUGAACCAGCCAAGUAGCGUGAGGGAAGACUGCCCUAUGGGUUGUAAACCUCUUUUAUGCGGGGAUAAAGGUGUCCACGUGUGGAUGUUUGCAGGUACCGCAUGAAUAAGGACCGGCUAAUGCCGUGCCAGCAGCCGCGGUAAUACGGAAGGUCCGGGCGUUAUCCGGAUUUAUUGGGUUUAAAGGGAGCGUAGGCCGGUCUUUAAGCGUGCCGUGCAAUUUUGUGGCUCAACCAUGAGAGUGCGGCGCGAACGGGUGCCCUUGUGUGCGCGUCAGGCCGGCGGACUUCGUGUUGUAGCGG
rnacentral:rRNA from 1 species